rnacentral:rRNA from 1 species
UACGUAGGGUGCGAGCGUUGUCCGGAAUUACUGGGCGUAAAGAGCGCGCAGGCGGUCGUUCAAGUCGAGUGUGAAAGCCCCCGGCUCAACUGGGGAGGGUCAUUCGAUACUGAUCGACUCGAAGGCAGGAGAGGGAAGUGGAAUUCCCGGUGUAGUGGUGAAAUGCGUAGAUAUCGGGAGGAACACCAGUGGCGAAGGCGACUACCUGGCCUGUUCUUGACGCUGAGGCGCGAAAGCUGGGGGAGCAAACGGGG